rnacentral:rRNA from 1 species
AUGGAUGCGGUCGAGCAAAACCGCACCUAUGAGCUCGCUGACCGCCCUCGUGGUCAGCAUGAAAUCACCCUUAAGUGGGUGUUCAAGCUGAAGAGGGAUGGAGCUGGCGCCAUCAUCAAUCACAAGGCUCGCUUGGUGGCCCAAGGCUUCUUGCAGCAGGAAGGAGUCGACUUCAACGAACCUUUCGCUCCCGUGGCACGGAUGGAGUACGUGCGACUUCUCCUUGCGCUAGCUGCCCAGGAGGGCUGGCGUGUCCAUCACAUGGAUGUCAAGUCGGCAUUCCUCAACGGCGACUUGAAGGAGGAAGUCUACGUGCAUCAGCCACCGGGAUUUACGAUCCCCGGCCAGGAGGGCAAGGUACUCCGCCUGCGUAAGGCUCUCUAUGGCCUACGACAGGCACCUAGGGCGUGGAACGCCAAGCUGGACUCCACGCUAAGAUGGGCUUCGAGCAAAGCUCGCAUGAGGCGGCCGUCUACCGACAGGGCAGUGGAGGAAAUGCCCUGCUGGUGGGCGUCUAUGUUGACGACUUGGUGA